UACGUAGGGGGCUAGCGUUGUCCGGAAUCAUUGGGCGUAAAGCGCGUGUAGGCGGCCCGGUAAGUCCGCUGUGAAAGUCGGGGGCUCAACCCUCGAAUGCCGGUGGAUACUGUCGGGCUCGAGUGCGGAAGAGGCGAGUGGAAUUCCUGGUGUAGCGGUGAAAUGCGCAGAUAUCAGGAGGAACACCGAUUGCGAAGGCAGCUCGCUGGGACGUUACUGACGCUGAGACGCGAAAGCGUGGGGAGCAAACGGG
rnacentral:rRNA from 1 species